AGGACGAACGCUGGCGGCGUGCUUAACACAUGCAAGUCGAACGGAAAGGCCCUGCUUUUGUGGGGUGCUCGAGUGGCGAACGGGUGAGUAACACGUGAGUAACCUGCCCUUGACUUUGGGAUAACUUCAGGAAACUGGGGCUAAUACCGGAUAGGAGCUCCUGCUGCAUGGUGGGGGUUGGAAAGUUUCGGCGGUUGGGGAUGGACUCGCGGCUUAUCAGCUUGUUGGUGGGGUAGUGGCUUACCAAGGCUUUGACGGGUAGCCGGCCUGAGAGGGUGACCGGCCACAUUGGGACUGAGAUACGGCCCAGACUCCUACGGGAGGCAGCAGUGGGGAAUAUUGCACAAUGGGCGGAAGCCUGAUGCAGCAACGCCGCGUGCGGGAUGACGGCCUUCGGGUUGUAAACCGCUUUCGCCUGUGACGAAGCGUGAGUGACGGUAAUGGGUAAAGAAGCACCGGCUAACUACGCGCCAGCAGCCGCGGUGAUACGUAGGGUGCGAGCGUUGUCCGGAUUUAUUGGGCGUAAAGGGCUCGUAGGUGGUUGAUCGCGUCGGAAGUGUAAUCUUGGGGCUUAACCCUGAGCGUGCUUUCGAUACGGGUUGACUUGAGGAAGGUAGGGGAGAAUGGAAUUCCUGGUGGAGCGGUGGAAUGCGCAGAUAUCAGGAGGAACACCAGUGGCGAAGGCGGUUCUCUGGGCCUUUCCUGACGCUGAGGAGCGAAAGCGUGGGGAGCGAACAGGCUUAGAUACCCUGGUAGUCCACGCUGUAAACGGUGGGUACUAGGUGUGGGGUCCAUUCCACGGGUUCCGUGCCGUAGCUAACGCUUUAAGUACCCCGCCUGGGGAGUACGGCCGCAAGGCUAAAACUCAAAGGAAUUGACGGGGCCCCGCACAAGCGGCGGAGCAUGCGGAUUAAUUCGAUGCAACGCGUAGAACCUUACCUGGGUUUGACAUGGAUCGGGAGUGCUCAGAGAUGGGUGUGCCUCUUUUGGGGUCGGUUCACAGGUGGUGCAUGGCUGUCGUCAGCUCGUGUCGUGAGAUGUUGGGUUAAGUCCCGCAACGAGCGCAACCCUUGUUCACUGUUGCCAGCACGUUAUGGUGGGGACUCAGUGGAGACCGCCGGGGUCAACUCGGAGGAAGGUGGGGAUGACGUCAAGUCAUCAUGCCCCUUAUGUCCAGGGCUUCACGCAUGCUACAAUGGCUGGUACAGAGAGUGGCGAGCCUGUGAGGGUGAGCGAAUCUCGGAAAGCCGGUCUCAGUUCGGAUUGGGGUCUGCAACUCGACCCCAUGAAGUCGGAGUCGCUAGUAAUCGCAGAUCAGCAACGCUGCGGUGAAUACGUUCCCGGGGCUUGUACACACCGCCCGUCAAGUCAUGAAAGUUGGUAACACCCGAAGCCGGUGGCCUAACCGUUGUGGGGGAGCCGUCGAAGGUGGGACUG
rnacentral:rRNA from 1 species